AGUCGACGAUUAAGACUUCCUUCGGGAAGUGUAUAAAGUGGCGCACGGGCGAGUAACACGUAAGUAAUCUACCUUCGAGUGGGGAAUAACAUCGGGAAACCGAUGCUAAUACCGCAUAACGCAGCGGCAUCGCAAGAUGACAGUUGUUAAAGGAAUUUAUUUCGCUUGAAGAGGAGCUUGCGGCAGAUUAGCUAGUUGGUAAGGUAAUGCUUACCAAGGCUACGAUCUGUAUCCGGUCUAAGAGGACGGUCGGACACACUGACACUGAAUAACGGGUCAGACUCCUACGGGAGGCAGCAGUCGGGAAUUUUGGGCAAUGGGCGAAAGCCUGACCCAGCAACGCCGCGUGAAGGAUGAAGUAUUUCGGUAUGUAAACUUCGAAAGAAUAGGAAGAAUAAAUGACGGUACUAUUUAUAAGCUCCGGCUAACUACGUGCCAGCAGCCGCGGUAAUACGUAGGGAGCAAGCGUUGUUCGGAUUUACUGGGCGUAAAGGGCGCGUAGGCGGCGCGGUAAGUCACUUGUGAAAUCUCUGAGCUUAACUCAGAACGGCCAAGUGAUACUGCAGUGCUAGAGUGCAGAAGGGGCAAUCGGAAUUCUUGGUGUAGCGGUGAAAUGCGUAGAUAUCAAGAGGAACACCUGAGGUGAAGACGGGUUGCUGGGCUGACACUGACNCUGAGGCGCGAAAGCCAGGGGAGCAAACGGGAUUAGAUACCCCGGUAGUCCUGGCCCUAAACGAUGAAUACUUGGUGUCUGGAGUUUCAAUACUCCGGGUGCCGUCGCUAACGUUUUA
rnacentral:rRNA from 1 species